rnacentral:tRNA from 1 species
ACCUGCGUAGCUCAGUGGUUGAGCAUCUGCCUUUGGCUCAGGUUGUGGUCCCAGGGUCCUGGGAUCAAGUCCCAGAUCAGGUU